UGUGCCCGUUUCCAUUUGUUGAUCGGGCAAUGGGAAAAGGGAAUACGAACAGACAGACGAAUCAGAUGAACGAAGGCAACGAAUACAGAGAGGGAAAAGGGAGUUCGAACGAUCGCAUUUGUUUGAUCGAUUUCGGGAAAGAGGUCGUCUCCGGGGGUCGACGAGGCCGAAGUAACGAAGGGUCCGAUGGAGUGUCGCGAGCAGCAGCAGCGAAGAAGUUGAGACCUUCGGAGGUCUGUGGUCGAUGGGAACAGAAGAGAAGGAAAGUGAGGGGAAAGGGGUGAUUCGGUGACGUUUGCGAAGGGAAGAAGAACAGAGGGUUGCGAGAUCGAGUUGGAGAUGAAGAGAUCCGAAGGAGCUGCCUUGCUCAAGACGAAAUCUACAAAGGAGUGGAAUGGAAGGUCGAUCCGGGGGAGCAAACAACGAAGGUUGAAGGUGGCGAUGGUGGGAGGCUGUUGUGAAGUCGAUGGAGGGUUUCUCCGGCGGUUGUAGGACAAAGGAAAGAAUGAGAGGCUGAUACCUCUUGUUAUUCACCGGAAAACAGAAGUUAUCACACCUCCGGUGUGUCAUGGGCAACCGAUCAAGAAGAAAAAGAAAACGUGGGAAGGAGGAAAGGUAAGAUAGUGGGACAACACAUCAUUAGAGGGGGGUGUUUGGCUGUAAAUGGAGGAGUGUUUUCCGUUAUGGUUAAGUCUACACUCCAAAGAAAUGUCCCAUGCUUGCCUUGAGGUGAUGGGGAGAAAUGGUCGAGUGUGGUUUUUAUGAUCAAAUGCACAUUUUUGUAGGUGAAUUUGGUGAUGAAUUGUGUACAAUAAUAAAUCUUGGAAUGAUCUUGUAUAGGACAUUACAUUAUUUGUUUA